AGUGAACACUGGCGGUAGGCCUAACACAUGCAAGUCGAACGGCAGCACAGGAGAGCUUGCUCUCUGGGUGGCGAGUGCGGACGGGUGAGGAAUACAUCGGAAUCUACUCUGUCGUGGGGGAUAACGUAGGGAAACUUACGCUAAUACCGCAUACGACCUACGGGUGAAAGCAGGGGACCUUCGGGCCUUGCGCGAUUGAAUGAGCCGAUGUCGGAUUAGCUAGUUGGCGGGGUAAAGGCCCACCAAGGCGACGAUCCGUAGCUGGUCUGAGAGGAUGAUCAGCCAAACUGGAACUGAGACACGGUCCAGACUCCUACGGGAGGCAGCAGUGGGGAAUAUUGGACAAUGGGCGCAAGCCUGAUCCAGCCAUACCGCGUGGGUGAAGAAGGCCUUCGGGUUGUAAAGCCCUUUUGUUGGGAAAGAAAUCCAGCUGGCUAAUACCCGGUUGGGAUGACGGUACCCAAAGAAUAAGCACCGGCUAACUUCGUGCCAGCAGCCGCGGUAA
rnacentral:rRNA from 1 species